UCCAACUGCGGCCCUGAGCUGGGCACUGAGGACAGGCAAGCCGCAGGGUCGUGAGCGAGGGUUGCUGAGGAGGGCAGUGAGCCAGGGAAGCCUCCAAGGACCACGCAGGGAAGGCGUGGAUACAAAUGUAAGGUCUAGAACCUUCUACAACUUCAUCGCUGAUUGUACUGCAAAAUUCAGUCUUGGAUUUCUCUUCCUGCUCCCUACGUAUAUAACACCAACGAUCGUAUCUUAUUUCCCCUCAUCCACCCUGAUUGAGGCAGAGAAAGGAGAAGCCGUAAGUGCUGUUGCAGAUAUCCACCCGGAGUGGUAAUUAUUGCAUCAUUAUAUUCGCUAUUUUGCUUGUCAUGUACCAUUAGGAGGUAACAAGAUCAUUGUCAGUCAAAGAUUGUGGAGAUAAUGAGAGCAUCUAUAGGUUAGCAGGAAAUCAAAUCGGUGCUGGUACCCGUCAAUGCCGAGGCGCUGAAUGUAAUUAGAAGGAAAAUAUGCAAAGGUUGAAUGAAUAAAGCCCCGGAGAUUAAAUACUGUGACUGAUUUGAGAACGUGACUGUGCUGUGUUCCGACACCGCAGAUGGCGACGUGGAAAUAGGUGUACAAUGGAAGGCGGUGAAGGCUGCCAGAAAUAGCAAACAGGCUGCCAGUGGUAGUGUUCAGGAGGGACCAAGGACUGCCGGAUUUGGAAAAACACAGUGUCUCCUGGUUUCCAAUCCAGCAGCUCUUCUUUGUUGUCUUCUGCAGCCUGGACAUCAGGUAUAAACAUGUAAUGCAGUGCCGAGUGAAGGGGCCUUUAUUAAACUUCGCUGCUCUGCCUAUCAUUAGCCUAAGCUGCCAGGACAUUGUCCAGUGGCCCGGCACUCCCCCAACACCCCUGGGGAGCUGCAGGAGUUCCCAGCCCUUCCCCCAUCACAGAUACAGAGCCCUCCCCCCGCCCCCAAGGCCCACUCCAACAGCCACCCACAGCCCUUCUAACCUUGACCGCUGCCCGCGAUACCAACACCAUUGCAAACAAUCUCAUCCAAACAGUGACUUCAGGUUGAUGCAAGAAAGUUUAACAAUUGUCUUUAAAAAAGAAAAACAAAAAAAAAUUCAGAAGACAAGGAGAGGCUGGCAGUGACGAGGGAUACGCCAUGCGAUCCUGACAGACGGGCCACGUCGAGACCGGAACAGGAAAUAAUCUGGAUGAACGUUUAACAUACAACUGACCGAGUCCACAGGCUAGAAGGCAAAGGAGCAAGCGAGCAAACACUUGGAUCCCAGGUCCUACGUCAGUCAGCCCGCUCACCAAUGCUGACACGGCCAAGGCUCUUGCUUUGAGUUCUGACGUAGGUUUGAGACACCAAUGGCACCUGCUAACUCGGCGCACGCGUGUUCACCGACCAAAAUCCCAAAGUACCUUCCCAGGACUUCUACAGCAAUGUGUUCAGCCACGUACCACAAACACAUUUCCACGGCCGACUGGGUAGGGCGCAAAUGCUUACAGAACCUACUUGGAGGGCCACUCGCUGAGCCGGGCAGGGUGGCCGGCCACCGCGGGGGACGUCUGUUCUCACACAGGCUGCGUUGCAGGUAUUUCAAGAGCCCGGUCUUGCACAAAGGCGGCUUCCUGCCCAAGGUAAGGGUGGCUAUCUCACACAAACAAGCAGCUGGAAGCUUAGUUCACAUUUUUUAAUAACAUGGCACAGUUUACAUUACACAAGAAGGCUUCGCCGAUGAGAACAUGCUGAAGAUUCAGUUGCUUCACUUUUCUUUUUCACAUAGGAUCUAGAAAGGACUUUAUUACAUACAGGAGAAACAGCAAAAAGGUCUGUAUAGAACAAUCUCUUUACAAUACUGAAAGCUACCACUACAGUUCCAGUGUACAUAUUCCUCGGGUGUUUUUUUUUUUUUAAGUUGUCGUCUUUAAAAAAAGAAAAAAACAAAACAAAAACACUGCACAACAUCU